GAUGAACGCUGGCGGCGUGCCUAAUACAUGCCAGUCGAGCGAACGGACGAGAAGCUUGCUUCUCUGAUGUUAGCGGCGGACGGGUGAGUAACACGUGGAUAACCUACCUAUAAGACUGGGAUAACUUCGGGAAACCGGAGCUAAUACCGGAUGAUAUUUUGAACCGCAUGGUUCAAAAGUGAAAGACGGUCUUGCUGUCACUUAUAGAUGGAUCCGCGCUGCAUUAGCUAGUUGGUAAGGUAACGGCUUACCAAGGCAACGAUGCGUAGCCGACCUGAGAGGGUGAUCGGGCACACUAGAAAUGAAACACGGUACAGAAUCCUACAGGAGGAAGCAGUAGGGAAUCUGCCGCAAUGGGCGAAAGCCUGAAGGAGCAACGCCGCGGGAGUGAUGAAGGUCUUGGGAUCGUAAAACUCUGUUAUGAGGGAAGAAAAUAUGUGUAAGUAACUGUGCACAUCUUGACGGUAACUAAUCAGAAAGCCACGGCUAACUACGUG
rnacentral:rRNA from 1 species